ACUGAGAGACUUCCAAAGAGGAGUCCUUCUUCCUGGCAGCUCUUCUCCGGGGUAGAUAAGGAUCUUGAUGGCACUUUGGACUAUCAUAAAUGGUCUCCUUGUUAGAAACCUCUGGAAAGGCGGGGUGAGAUCAGAGUCUGACGGUGAAUCCUGUCUCUUCUCAGGACUCACAUUACUGGAGCCUGGGAAGGUCGUAUGACUGUCUCCUCAUUUUGAUAUUGUAAUUAUUGAAAUUAAGCCUUUUUGACUGAAUCAUGGACUGUUUUCUCAUUGCUUUUAAAAGUCUCUGAGUGAAAUUCCACAAGAGUCUGAUGCAUACUAUGUUUAUGGUAUGCAAAAUGUGUGUCAUUAAGAGUAAAAACCUACACAAAUUAUUAUUGAUGUUACAUUUUAAUGCCAAUAUUGGCCAAUAAUAAUAGUAGGCUGAUGAAACUGGGAAUCUCUAGUUUUAAUUUAGUACUUCAGUUGAUGGUGAAAUACUCCAUCAGUCAUUUCCUUGGUGUCUUUUCCUGUCUUUGCUGUACAUCUUUCAUCUUUAAUUUGCUCAUUUUCCACAAUGUUAAAAUACAAAAUCAUAUUACUUUCAGUCACAUUUAUUCAUAGUUUGCUGUUGAACUGAGAGUUCCGCUGAAGACCAGCAUGCUGAAAUAUCAUCAUGGCUUUCUUUGCUGUGCAGAAGAGUUCAUUCAACAUUGACCUUUAAUGCACAAACGGAUAUUUAAGUAAAAACAUUUUGGUUGUAUUUUAUUACCUUUGGAUCUUGUUGAGAUCUCCAUGCUUUCUGCUGCAGCCUGGUUCUCCGUGUUUUCCUCCUCUGGUACGCUGACACGCAGAGAGAACUGUUAGUGGUGUGUUGCUGACAUGUGAAGGACAAUGAAAGAUUGAACUAAUCUGUUCUUGGUUUUGCUGCUUUUCAUUAAUACAUGAAAAAGUAAAGAAAAUGCACAAUGUUGUAAAAAGGGCAGUAUUCUUAAUGCAUUGAAAAAAAUUUGAAGAAUAGCAGGAGGAUGAGCAGUAUUUGAUGGUCAACUUAAUUUCUUGCAAAAGUGUGCUUGAUCGCUUACAAUAAGGACAAAUUCUGGGUCUGCAACAAUGCAGAAAAACUGCAGGAUUUAGAGUCUUAUUUCCUGGUUUGCAGAAAUCUCACCUCUGAUUGGUUAACAGCAAUGUGACUCUACCACUGACUUUUUUUGCUCUGCAAUGUUGAUGUUUUAUCGCCACAAAUAACACAAGCCUGAAGGAGUUCUGGUGUGUGGUGGAGUAGCUAAUGCUAGCGGUUAGCUUCUACUAGCCGAGACGUGUUCAGCUGUUUCCUGGAUGCUAAACCAACAACAGCCUUCCUCGUCGUGAGCAAAGAUGGGAAAUAGGGGGUAGAAGACGUUCGGUCUGCAUGUGAAACUCAGAGUGACUGAUCAUAUUUUUGAAAUAACAACCUUGACAGAUGAUGACAUCCUGGAUCUAAAGGCAGUGGAGCCAGAAGCUGCAGUCCAGACAAGCAUGGACAACAGUGACACAGAUACAGCUUCAUCAGACACGGAUACAGGGGAACAAACUGGCUUUCCAGAGCCCUUGACUGCUUUAUUUGACACUACACUCAGGGAGCUCUCACCACAGGAAUUAAAUGUAAAGUGUGAAGAAACAUUUCAAAGACUAAAAACUACAACACAGCAUCAUCAACUAGAAAAACUACAAUGGGUAACAAGGCAGCAGUCAAAGUCACAUGACUGGCAUGUCCAUAGGGCUGGUAGGAUCACAAGUACAAAAUUUCACCAUGUGGCCACAACAGACAAGCUCAGCAAAAAUUACAUAAUGAACAUAAUGCAGUACAAUAAGACCACAUUAAAUGUCCCAUCUGUUAUCUGGGGUGAAAAUAUGGAGCAAACCGCUAGACAACAGUAUAGUGAUUUCAUGUCAAAAAAAUCACCAACGACUCCUGGUCAGCACCUGUGGUUCAGUUGUUCAGCCAUCUGAGCCAUACCUUGAGCAAGACGUUUCAUCCCUUCUCCUUUUCCGUUGAUACCUUAAUGUAACAGGUCUAAAUUACUUAACAGUUACACAAGUCAAGAACCAAGAUAUAAUAACACUGAACAUCAUGAAUAGCAAGAAUUUCUAAAUAUUAAAUAUAUCUGUGAUGGGAAGGUGUAAACAAUACCUGUCCAUCUUUGCGUGGGGGUUUGGACUUCGCUUUGUGUACGUAAACACAGAAGGCACAAAAUCAGGACUCGAGGAGUCCAAUGACACCUCGCCUGUAAAUAAAUAGACUGCUUAAAAGCAAACCAGCAAACGCAACUUACUUUAUUUAAUAGAACACACGUUAACCAGCUUUCUGGUGUAAUCUUAGUACAUAAUUACCUUACCUGAUAUAAAAUGGGCGCUACAAACUCGAGCAUUUCGGAUCGUGUUUUCAGUCCAGUUUUCAUCAACCCUUUUGAUGGCCUGCAGCCACAGACGCCUCCGAUUUUGUUGAAAUGGAUGUGCUCCCUUCGGAAUUCUGUAAAGUUUCAGUCCACUGCUUGAAGAGAAGCGAUUCUGGCAUCCAUACACGCAACAACCCGACAUUUUUAUGUGCUCGUAACUUCAAAACAAAGGGUUUAAAACGCUGUUUUAGUAUCGAAUGUGAAUAAGGAAGCCUUCACUCUCGUUGCCAGGCUGCGCGCGCAACUUUUGAUGACGUAGGUAGUAAAAGGGUCUAUUCCCUCUGCAGCAAACGGCACAGUCGUAACAGCCAGGAAAUGUGAGCGUGAGGGAGUAUGACGUCAGCCAACAGGAAGUCCUUUAGCUGUGUGAAUCUCAGUUAUAACAGGGUUAUUUAUUUUAUAACCCAAGGAUACAACUGAAACUCUAAUAUAAAUAGAUAACACUUGGUAAACCAUGGAUGCUGUGGUGUUUAAACGUUUUCAUUGCCUCUCGGCUGUUAGAUUUAAGGUGAGCAGUGCACUUGUUGUUUUGCAGAAAACCAGAACUCUCCUCUGCAGCCACGUAAAAUGUGAAAUGGAGUAGCAGCAGCCAUAAUGGUGUCUUAAGUUUGGGAGUGUGACAUCUCAACUCUCUGUGAAAGAACUGGAAUUUCAUCAAUUCUCAGACACAUCAGACUACACCGGUCUCUGUUUUCCAUUAAGCUGAACAUACACACACUAAACAUUUGCACUGUAUUUCUGGCCCCAGAGCACCUGACGACAAUAUUUAAGUGAAAUCGGCAGUAGGAGUGUAUAACUCCUCAGUUUAACUGGUACUGGCAUGAUCCUGUUAAACAUUAAUAUCAGUGCAAUAUUCAGUAUGCAUUUAAUACUUGUGCCAUACCUGAUGUACAUCAGCAUGUCUGUGUCCCUUAUGCUGCAUAGUUGUGGAAACACGUUUCCUUUUUAUUCAUUAUUUUUAGUGGUUGAAGGUUACAAUAAUAGCUUAUUGCCUUUGUGUGUUUACCUGUCAUCGUUAUUAUUUUUCUUCCUCCUUUUCUCUAAGCGUAUUUGCUGCUAGAGCGAGUGAAUGUCCCCACUGUGGGGUUAAUAAAGUCUAUUCUAUUCUGCUCUAUUUUUCUAUUCUAUCAAUCUGUCAGUCAGGCUUCAGCCUAUGCCAGAGUGAAUUGUAGGGAGCCUGAAAAAUAAACACCAUUGCUAAAAAUAUUGUCUCUUUGCACCAGCAUAACGUAAUUAUCAAUAAACACCUUUAAAGAUUA